UAGGGAAUCUUCCACAAUGGACGCAAGUCUGAUGGAGCAACGCCGCGUGAGUGAAGAAGGCUUUCGGGUCGUAAAACUCUGUUAUUGAAGAAGAACGUGCGUGACAGUAACUGGUCAUGCAGUGACGGUAUUCAAUCAGAAAGUCACGGCUAACUACGUGCCAGCAGCCGCGGUAAUACGUAGGUGGCAAGCGUUGUCCGGAUUUAUUGGGCGUAAAGCGAGUGCAGGCGGUCUUUUAAGUCUGAUGUGAAAGCCUUCGGCUUAACCGAAGAAGGGCAUCGGAAACUGGGAGACUUGAGUGCAGAAGAGGAGAGUGGAACUCCAUGUGUAGCGGUGAAAUGCGUAGAUAUAUGGAAGAACACCAGUGGCGAAGGCGGCUCUCUGGUCUGUAACUGACGCUGAGGCUCGAAAGCGUGGGUAGCAAACAGGAUUAGAUACCCUGGU
rnacentral:rRNA from 1 species